rnacentral:rRNA from 1 species
GACAGAGGGUGCAAACGUUGCUCGGAAUCACUGGGCGUAAAGGGCGUGUAGGCGGGAAGGAAAGUCGGGCGUGAAAUCCCUGGGCUCAACCCACGGAAGACUGCACUCGAAACUUCUUUUCUUGAGUGCCGGAGAGGAAAGCGGAAUACCUGGUGUAGAGGUGAAAUUCGUAGAUAUCAGGUGGAACACCAGUGGCGAAGGCGGCUUUCUGGACGGUAACUGACGCUGAGACGCGAAAGCGUGGGGAGCAAACAGG